GACGAACGCUGGCGGCGUGCUUAACACAUGCAAGUCGAAGAUAGUGGCGAACGGGUGAGUAAUACGUGGGUAACCUGCCCUCCUUUUUAGGAUAAGCCUUGGAAACUGGGUCUAAUACUGGAUGUGUUGGGAUGGGCUCGUGGCUGAUCUGGUUGGUGGUGGGGGGAUGGCGUACCAAGGCUUUGACGGGUAGCCGGUCUGAGAGGGUGGCCGGGACCACUGGGACUGAGAUACGGCCCAGACGCCGCCGGGGGGGAGCAGUGGGGGCUAUUGGACAAUGGGCGAAAGACUGAUGCAGCGAGGCCGCGUGGGGGAUGAAGGCUUUCGGGUUGUAAACCUCUUUCGCUAUCGAAUGGGUAGGUGGAGAAGAAGCGCCGGCUAACUACGUGCCAGCAGCCGCGGUAAUUC
rnacentral:rRNA from 1 species